GUAAGUUUUCUUUGUAUAUUCUUGAAACACCUAUAAAGUUUUAUUUACCGAUUGAAUACUUAAAUGUAAGUGAAAAUCUAAUAGAUGUUUAUGUAAAUCUAGGUAGACAUCACCUGGAUUCCCCACUCUAUUGCUUACCUUUUUGUUUUGUAAUUUGAUCAGUUCAAGUUAAAACAAUUUAACCAAAAACUAUGAAUGUUUAUGAUAUAAUGAAAUGAUUUUUAACUUUCUUAUUGCUUUUUCACACACCUAUAAAAGUAAUUUUAUUACUCUCAAGAGAAAUCACUAAAGUCAGAAUUACUAGAGGUAAAAAUAACUAGUUUGUUACAGUAUUACUCAGAGAAGUCAGGGAGAAAACUUGUACCAUGAUUCAAAUAUUUGCAUGGUGUGGAGGAAAAAUUGCUCCUUGGUACUCUGUUAUUUAUACAUACUGUUUUUAGUUAAAUAAUUUUUUUUGUUGUUAAAGGGUAUAUUUGUAACAAGGGUACAACCUGAAGGACCAGCAUCAAAAUUACUGCAGCCAGGUGAUAAAAUUAUUCAGGCUAAUGGCUACAGUUUUAUAAAUAUUGAACAUGGACAAGCAGUGUCCUUGCUAAAAACUUUCCAGAAUACAGUUGAACUCAUCAUUGUACGAGAAGUUUCCUCAUAAGCACUGUGGACAAAAAAAGCGGGG
rnacentral:lncRNA from 1 species